rnacentral:rRNA from 1 species
CCUACGGGCGGCAGCAGUGGGGAAUAUUGGACAAUGGGGGGAACCCUGAUCCAGCCAUGCCGCGUGUGUGAAGAAGGCCCUCGGGUUGUAAAGCACUUUCAGUGAGGAAGAACGCCUGGUGGUUUAUACCCAUCAGGAAAGACAUCACUCACAGAAGAAGCACCGGCUAACUCCGUGCCAGCAGCCGCGGUAAUACGGAGGGUGCGAGCGUUAAUCGGAAUUACUGGGCGUAAAGCGCGCGUAGGUGGCUUGAUAAGCCGGUUGUGAAAGCCCCGGGCUCAACCCGGGAACGGCAUCCGGAACUGUCAAGCUAGAGUGCAGGAGAGGAAGGUAGAAUUCCCGGUGUAGCGGUGAAAUGCGUAGAGAUCGGGAGGAAUACCAGUGGCGAAGGCGGCCUUCUGGACUGACACUGACACUGAGGUGCGAAAGCGUGGGUAGCAAACAGGAUGAGAUACCCUGGUAGUC